UGAGUAACCUGCCCUUAACUCUGGGAUAAGCCUGGGAAACUGGGUCUAAUACCGGAUAUGACUCCUCAUCGCAUGGUGGGGGGUGGAAAGCUUUAUUGUGGUUUUGGAUGGACUCGCGGCCUAUCAGCUUGUUGGUGAGGUAAUGGCCCACCAAGGCGACGACGGGUAGCCGGCCUGAGAGGGUGACCGGCCACACUGGGACUGAGACACGGUCCAAACUCCUACGGGAGGCAG
rnacentral:rRNA from 1 species